UUCAUGUUUUCCGCCAAAUAUUCAACGUAUUUCUCAUAUUAUUCGAUUGAUUAAUAGUUUGAAAUCGUUCUUAGAUAAAGCUUGGGUGAAACUAAGUGGAGGUCCGAACUGACUGAUGUUGAAGAAUCAGCGGAUGAGUUGUGGUUAGAGGUGAAAUGCCAUUCAAACCCAGAGCUAGCUGGUUCUCCCCAAAAUGCGUUGAGGCGCAGCAAUUGACUAGACAUCUAGGGGUAAAGUACUGUUUCGGUGCGGGCCACGAGAGUGGUACCAAAUCGAGGCAAACUCUAAAUACUAGAUAUGACCUCAAAAUAACAGGGGUCGAGGUCGGCCAGUGAGA
rnacentral:ncRNA from 1 species